rnacentral:tRNA from 1 species
GGGUGAAGUUAGAGCACUGCAUUCACAUUGCAAGGGUCAGUGGUUCGAGUCCACUAUCAUCCA